GCUGGCGGCAGGCCUAACACAUGCAAGUCGAGCGGUAGAGAGAAGCUUGCUUCUCUUGAGAGCGGCGGACGGGUGAGUAAAGCCUAGGAAUCUGCCUGGUAGUGGGGGAUAACGUUCGGAAACGGACGCUAAUACCGCAUACGUCCUACGGGAGAAAGCAGGGGACCUUCGGGCCUUGCGCUAUCAGAUGAGCCUAGGUCGGAUUAGCUAGUUGGUGAGGUAAUGGCUCACCAAGGCGACGAUCCGUAACUGGUCUGAGAGGAUGAUCAGUCACACUGGAACUGAGACACGGUCCAGACUCCUACGGGAGGCAGCAGUGGGGAAUAUUGGACAAUGGGCGAAAGCCUGAUCCAGCCAUGCCGCGUGUGUGAAGAAGGUCUUCGGAUUGUAAAGCACUUUAAGUUGGGAGGAAGGGCAUUAACCUAAUACGUUAGUGUUUUGACGUUACCGACAGAAUAAGCACCGGCUAACUCUGUGCCAGCAGCCGCGGUAAUACAGAGGGUGCAAGCGUUAAUCGGAAUUACUGGGCGUAAAGCGCGCGUAGGUGGUUUGUUAAGUUGGAUGUGAAAUCCCCGGGCUCAACCUGGGAACUGCAUUCAAACUGACUGACUAGAGUGUGGUAGAGGGUGGUGGAAUUUCCUGUUGUAGCGGUGAAAUGCGUAGAUAUAGGAGGGAACACCAGUGGCGAGGCGACCACCUGGACCAACACUGACACUGA
rnacentral:rRNA from 1 species